UAGGAUGGGUGACCUCCCGG
rnacentral:sRNA from 1 species